rnacentral:rRNA from 1 species
AGUGAACGCUGGCGGUAGGCCUAACACAUGCGAGUCGAACGGCAGCACAGUAAGAGCUUGCUCUUACGGGUGGCGAGUGGCGGACGGGUGAGGAAUACAUCGGAAUCUACUUUUUCGUGGGGGAUAACGUAGGGAAACUUACGCUAAUACCGCAUACGACCUACGGGUGAAAGCAGGGGUUCUUCGGACCUUUCGCGAUUGAAUGAGCCGAUGUCGGAUUAGCUAGUUGGCGGGGUAAAGGCCCACCAAGGCGACGAUCCGUAGCGGGUCUGACAGGAUGAUCAGCCACACGGGAACUGAGACACGUCCCAGACUCCUGCGGGAGGCAGCAGUGGGGAAUCUUGCGCAAUGGGCGAAAGCCGGAUCCAGCAAUACCGCGUGGGUGAAGAAGGCCUUCGGGUGGUAAAGCCCUUUUGUUGGGAAAGAAAAGAAGCAGGUUAAUACCCCGCUGUUCUGACGGUACCCAAAGAAUAAGCACCGGCUAACUUCGUG